rnacentral:misc_RNA from 1 species
AACGCACGAGACCUGCGGACCUGCGGAGGGAUCAUCAAAGAAUAAUUCUAUCUUUUUAACAGGGGUUUUUCUCAGCAAAGAUUCUUGUUAAAAAGAACACACAUGACUAGGAAAAAAAGGAGAUAAGGGGGGGCGACAUGUAUAUAAAAGUUCCUGACUGAUAAGAAAUUUUGAUUUGGAAAGAAAAGAGAUAACUUUCAGCAACGGAUCUCU